GGGGUUUUGGGGUUCAGAUACGGGGCUCUAGGUUCAGAUAUGGGGUAUGGGUUUUGGGGUUCAGAUACGGGGCUCUAGGUUCAGAUCUGGGGUUUGGGGUUCAGAUAUGGGGUUUGGGGGCUCAGAUAUGGGGUUUCUGGGAUCAGAUCUGGGUUUUGGGGUUCAGACAUGGGGUCUUGGGGUUCAGGUAUGGGUUUUGGGGUGCCCCCCCCCCCCCCCCU
ensembl:lncRNA